rnacentral:rRNA from 1 species
GACGAACGCUGGCGGCGUGCUUAACACAUGCAAGUCGAACGGAAAGGCCCUGCUUGCAGGGUACUCGAGUGGCGAACGGGUGAGUAACACGUGGGUGAUCUGCCCUGCACUUCGGGAUAAGCUUGGGAAACUGGGUCUAAUACCGGAUAGGAGCCAUCUUUAGUGUGGUGGUUGGAAAGUUUUUUCGGUGUAGGAUGAGCUCGCGGCCUAUCAGCUUGUUGGUGGGGUAAUGGCCUACCAAGGCGGCGACGGGUAGCCGGCCUGAGAGGGUGUACGGCCACAUUGGGACUGAGAUACGGCCCAGACUCCUACGGGAGGCAGCAGUGGGGAAUAUUGCACAAUGGGCGCAAGCCUGAUGCAGCGACGCCGCGUGGGGGAUGAACGCCUUCGGGUUGUAAACUCCUUUCGCUAGGGACGAAGCUUUUUUGUGACGGUACCUAGAGAAGAAGCACCGGCUAACUACGUG